rnacentral:rRNA from 1 species
CGGUAACACCGGCGGCCCGAGUGGUAGCCGUUAUUAUUGGGUUUAAAGGGUCCGUAGCCGGCUUAUUAAGUCUCUUGGGAAAUCUGGCGGCUCAAUCGUCAGGCGUUCAAGAGAUACUGAUAGGCUUGGGACCGGGAGAGGUGGGAGGUACUCCAGGGGUAGGGGUGAAAUCUCGUAAUCCUUGGGGGACCACCGAUGGCGAAGGCAUCCCACCAGAACGGGUCCGACGGUGAGGGACGAAAGCUGGGGGCACGAACCGGAUUAGAUACCCGGGUAGUCCCAGCCGUAAACGAUGCUCGCUAGGUGUCAGGUGCGGUGCGACCGCAUNUGGUGCCGNAGUGAAAACUUGAAGCGAGUCACCUGGGAAGUACGGUCGCAAGGCUGAAACUUAAAGGAAUUGGCGGGGGAGCACUACAACGGGUGGAGCCUGCGGUUCAAUUGGAUUCAACGCCGGAAAGCUUACCGGGUCAGACAGCAAUAUGAAGGUCAAGCUAAAGACUUUACCGAAUUCGCUGAGAGGAGGUGCAUGGCCGUCGUCAGUUCGUAUCGUGAGACAUCCUGUUAAGUCAGGCAACGAGCAAGACCCGUGCCCACAGUUGCCAGCAUACCCUCCGGGGUGAUGGGCACACUGUGGGGACCGCCGCUGCUAAAGCGGAGGAAGGNGCGGGCUACGGUAGGUCAGUAUGCCCCGAAUCAUCCGGGCUACACGCGGGCUACAAUGGUUGGGACAAUGGGCACCUACACCGAGAGGUGAUGGUAAUCUCCUAAACCCAGCCUUAGUUCGGAUUGAGGGCUGCAACUCGCCCUCAUGAAGCCGGAAUCCGUAGUAAUCGCGUAUCAAUAUCACGCGGUGAAUACGUCCCUGCUCCUUGUACACACCGCCCGU